rnacentral:misc_RNA from 1 species
UUUUUUUCAUUUAUUUUCCAGCUUCCAAAAUUAAUAACUUGAACAUAUCUGCUGGUAUGUUGAUCACUGUUUGCUCAAAAUAUGAUUUUAUAGAAUUUAAAGACGCUCUUACCAAUGGUGCUCAGGCAAAUUUAUGUGGAACUCAACUUUCAUGUGAUUUUUAAUCAUGUUUAUUGUAUUAUUGAUAAACAAAGUAAAAGGCGCCAUUGAAGGAAGAUGCUUAGAAUGUAAGCGUAAGGCUAAGGUCCAUUUAUGAACUAGAUCCAAGAACCAAAGACAUGGCAG